rnacentral:rRNA from 1 species
AUUCCAGCUCCAAUAGCGUAUAUUAAAGUUGUUGCAGUUAAAAAGCUCGUAGUUGGAUUUCUGGGAGGGUGCACGAUGCUGGCUGAGCCAUGCAGAGGCGCCCUUUCAUCCCUUUGUUAACGGUUAUUGGUAUUCAUUUACUGUUUCCGGGCUCAAAUAUUUUACCUUGAGAAAAUUAGAGUGUUUCAGGCAGGCUUUCGCUUGAAUACAUUAGCAUGGAAUAAUAGAACAGGACUCCGGUCUCCUUUAUUGGUUUGAGGGACUGAAGUAAUGAUUAAUAGGGACAGUUGGGGGCAUUAGUAUUUAAUUGUCAGAGGUGAAAUUCUCGGAUUUGUUAAAGACUAACUUAUGCGAAAGCAUUUGCCAAGGAUGUUUCCAUCA